GAUCCUGGCUCAGGAUGAACGCUGGCGGCGUGCCUAAUACAUGCAAGUCGAACGCUUUGUGGUUCAACUGAAUUGAAGAGCUUGCUCAGAUAUGACGAUGGACAUUGCAAAGAGUGGCGAACGGGUGAGUAACACGUGGGAAACCUACCUCUUAGCAGGGGAUAACAUUUGGAAACAGAUGCUAAUACCGUAUAACAAUAGCAACCGCAUGGUUGCUACUUAAAAGAUGGUU
rnacentral:rRNA from 1 species